UAGGGAAUAUUGGACAAUGGGCGAAAGCCUGAUCCAGCAACGCCGCGUGCGCGAUGAAGGCCUUCGGGUUGUAAAGCGCUUUUCGGGGGGAUGAGGAAGGACAGUACCCCCGGAAUAAGUCUCGGCUAACUACGUGCCAGCAGCCGCGGUAAAACGUAGGAGGCAAGCGUUAUCCGGAUUUACUGGGCGUAAAGCGCGUGCAGGCGGUUCGGUAAGUCGGACGUGAAAGCUCCUGGCUCAACUGGGAGAGGCCGUUCGAUACUACCGAACUAGAGGGCAGGAGAGGGAGGUGGAAUUCCGGGUGUAGCGGUGAAAUGCGUAGAUAUCCGGAGGAACACCAGUGGCGAAGGCGGCCUCCUAGUCUGCCCCUGACGCUCAGACGCGAAAGCUAGGGGGGCGAACGGGAUUAGAAACCCCGGUAGUCCUAGCUGUAAACGAUGCGGACUUGGUGUGGGUGGCUUAAACUCCAUCCGUGCCGUAGCUAACGCGAUAAGUCCGCCGCCUGGGGACUACGACCGCAAGGUUA
rnacentral:rRNA from 1 species